rnacentral:rRNA from 1 species
GAACUGAAGAGUUUGAUCCUGGCUCAGAUUGAACGCUGGCGGCAUGCCUUACACAUGCAAGUCGAACGGUAACGCGGGGCAACCUGGCGACGAGUGGCGAACGGGUGAGUAAUGCAUCGGAACGUGCCCAGUAGUGGGGGAUAGCCCGGCGAAAGCCGGAUUAAUACCGCAUACGACCUAUGGGUGAAAGCGGGGGAUCGCAAGACCUCGCGCUAUUGGAGCGGCCGAUGUCAGAUUAGCUAGUUGGUGGGGUAAAGGCCUACCAAGGCGACGAUCUGUAGCUGGUCUGAGAGGACGACCAGCCACACUGGGACUGAGACACGGCCCAGACUCCUACGGGAGGCAGCAGUGGGGAAUUUUGGACAAUGGGGGCAACCCUGAUCCAGCCAUGCCGCGUGCGGGAAGAAGGCCUUCGGGUUGUAAACCGCUUUUGUCGGGGAAGAAACGGUCUGCGCUAAUACCGUGGACUAAUGACGGUACCUGAAGAAUAAGCACCGGCUAACUACGUGCCAGCAGCCGCGGUAAUACGUAGGGUGCAAGCGUUAAUCGGAAUUACUGGGCGUAAAGCGUGCGCAGGCGGCUUUGCAAGACA